rnacentral:rRNA from 1 species
UCGAGAGGCUUCGGCAAUGGGGGAAACCCUGACCGAGCGACGCCGCGUGGGGGAUGAAGGCCCUUGGGUUGUAAACCCCUUUCGACCGGGAAGAAUGAUCUCCGGGUGAACAAUCCGGAGACUUGACGGUACCGGUGGAAGAAGCUCCGGCUAACUCCGUGCCAGCAGCCGCGGUAACACGGGGGGAGCGAACGUUGUUCGGAAUCACUGGGCGUAAAGGGCGUGUAGGCGGUUCGGUAAGUGGGAUGUGAAAGCCCCCGGCUCACCCGGGGAACUGCAUCCCAAACUGCCGGACUUGAGUGCGGGAGAGGAUGGGGGAAUUCCUGGUGUAGCGGUGAAAUGCGUAGAUAUCAGGAGGAACACCGGUGGCGAAGGCGCCCAUCUGGCCCGUUACUGACGCUGAGGCGCGAAAGCUAGGGGAGCGAACGGG